rnacentral:misc_RNA from 1 species
CCCCAUUCAAACAGUUGCUUGCAAAUCUUGAGCUUGUAAAUCCGAAGUGUUGUUAGGUUGGUCGGGAAGCCAUCUUCUGGAAAGGAAUCAAUGCGUGGACAAUCAUCUAUCCUCAAUUCUUGAAGAGAUGCAAGGUUGUGCAUGUUAUCAGGAAGAGCCUCAAGUUUCUCACAGCCUUGGAUCCAGAGGUUUUUCAAAUAAGCAAUGGGCAACCCCCCACGAGGGAAGCAAACAAGAACUGCACAAUCUGUUAUAAAAAUUUCAUGAAGAUUCAUGACCUUGUGAAGGUCAUCUGGUAAAGAUUUAAGAU